rnacentral:rRNA from 1 species
UGGUUAAGUCCGCAACGAGCGCACCCUUAUCCCAGUUGCCAUCAGGUAAAGCUGGGAACGUCUGGGGAGACUGCCGGUGAUAACCGGAGGAAGCGGGGAUGACGUCAAGUCCUCAUGGCCCUUACAUCCCGGGCUACACACGUGCUACAAUGGCAGGUACAGAGGGCUGCAAAGCCGCGAGGUAGAGCGAAUCCCAGAAAACCUGUCUCAGUCCGGAUUGGAGUCUGCAACUCGACUCCAUGAAGUUGGAAUCGCUAGUAAUCGCGGAUCAGCACGCCGCGGUGAAUACGUUCCCGGGCCUU